UAGAGCAGCCACGUUAGUAACCCUCGUGGACCUGGAAGAGGGUGGAAACCUGCAAACCUCUUCGGCUCGGCAGUACCGAGUGGUUCCUCAACAAAACUCCUGCAACGAAAGCCGCUACGCACACAAAAUCGUCAUCGAAGCAAAUAUCGGCACUCCACGUGAAUGUUGUGCUGUAUUAUGCAAUCGUUCCGCUAGUGGUAAACUGAACUAAUCGCUAUACCAGAAACGUUAUUCGCAAAUUUACUUUUUUGAUUUUAUCGCCCGCUAUUUCCAGCGUUUUUGUUUGAGCUUGUAAGGAUAAUCAUUUCGGUCGCAAUAUGACUGAAGAGAAAAUAAGGAAACUAAACUUUGCAGACGUACUGAAAAUAAUCGGUUGGUGGCUAUAUAGGUAGUAGGUACAGCGUGGCGCAAAACGCCGUCGAAGAUGAGGAAGUGCACAUUAAUUUGCUAAUGCAAAUUACGGAUCUCGAACAUAUUCAUACCGGGUUUUAUACAAAUCAUAACACCCGAUUGGCUUGAUCGAGGACGACCAUUUUGAUGAAGAAGACGCUGUUCGUAAACGGUUUGACGCAAUGUUUUGCUAGUAUUAAGGUCAUCCAUCACAAAAUCUUUAAGGAACAAGUGGCUACUCGCUAAGGGCCUCCUCCACUGCGUGCCCGGCCCCAUAUUAAAUUAAAUUAAAUGAUCUAAAAUCCUCCUUUCGACGUUUUAUGGGGAGUUAACUAGUUUUUUGCCAUUUAUUGAAAUGUUUGACACAAUCAUCAAUAAUUCCACAAAAAAAAUUAGCAACUUAAAGAUUGACAUUCACUAAUUCCCUAAACGAGCUACCACCAAAAAAAAAAACAAAGUUGCACAUGAUGGCUAUGUCUAACGAUUUUUUAAAUUCAUUUUUCAAAUGCAAAUUAUUCAAAUGCGAUUUCCCGGCGCUGUUUUUUUUACGGAAACCGUAUUCUUGGCAUAUUUUCAUGAAAAAUCCAUCAAAUACAUGAGUUCUACACUUUGGGCCAAAUAUUCUACAGAUGAUUUCGAAAUAUAUGCAACAAUUUUAACCACGACAUCACGUGCCGUAGUAGUGUGGAAAUAUAGAAAAAACAAAUUAAAAAUCGAAUGGGGCAAUGGGGCAAACCCCCAUGAACCACCCUCGACACGAAGUCACUGAUCCACCUUUUAAACAGUAGGUGGAAAAACGUUCGAAUAAAAACGGUGUAAACACUCUCAGUUGCAAUUAAAAGUAAAACGGAGUAUCAUUCGUUCAUUCAUGCAUUCAUUCAUCGUUAAAGGUCAGUGCGAAAGAUUAUUCGUUGUAGAAACAAAUGGUGGCCCUGGGAAGGACCGCUUUUUGGUAAUGCUUUAAGGUGAUCGAUUUUUGAUUCUGACGAAUGUUUGGUUCUUGCCACAACGAUUUUACAUUGUUUAUUGGAACAAAAAUAAGAGCAACUUAGAAUGUUUUUAGAAGAAAUGUUGAAAAUGUUGUCAUUGACUACCAAUAUAGCCUUCAGAACGUUGCAACAUGUGUGUUGAUGGAUAAAAAACCAUCGGGAGUUCCACGAACUGUAGCGGCUGCCACUUCCAGUUGUUGUUGAAGCUCUUCGAUAGUUUCUGGACACUGUUGAUUUCCAUAAACUAACUGUUUCAUCCAACUGAUGCCGGCCCACACAUUUAUGAAAAACCGUCGUUGAAAUGGUACUUCUUGAAGAGCGUGUGGAUUUUCAUCGGACCAAAAGUAAGUUUUGUGGCUGUUGAAAACGGCAUUGCGAGUGAAUCCUGCUUCAUCCGUAAACAGAGUGCACUUUAAAAAGUCAGGGCGUUCAGGACACUGCUGUAACACCCAUUUGCAGUAAAUUAUACAACGUGGACAAUCAGUGGGCUCCAAACCUCGCACUUUUUGGACACGGUAUGGAUGUGUCCUUGUUCUUUUAAUGUACGAUGCACUACAAACUGAGAAACUCCAACUUCAACUGCAAGUCGGCGAGUGUUGUUGUCGGGCUCUUCUUCGACGUGUUCCAAAAUUUGUUCUUCAGCUUACAGUAUUCUUUGUCCUAUCACGGCCAUGAUCGUGAGUUUGAGGUUGAAGGUACCAUAUUCUCGGAGAUGUUAUACCACUAACGCAAAUGUUCGCGCACACCAUAAAGCAUUACCAUAUCGACACACUCUGAAUUGGAAAAGAUUCACUGUAAACCAACAAUGACCUUUCGAUGCAAACAACUGAUGACUCGCCCUUUUCGUGUUUUUGCACGUUUCUUAUCAGUCACUUUUUUGGUUCUUAAUCCGAGUCAUUCUGUGCCAUUCAUUGAAAGAAGUAGGCCAAGAAAUACUACCAGCGGCAUGUAUAACAAUUUAUAUUUAAUUUUAAAUAUUUUUUCUAGACGUUCCUACCACUUAGAAGCGUAAACUUUACACAACGCGAUGAUCUUAUUGUGAGCUAUCCCCAUUUUUUUUUAUUGCACAUAUUUCGAAAUCAGGCUGUAUGUUCAAGACAAUGUUUAAAAUUGAAAAAGAUUUGGAUAUCAGCAAGUGUGCAAAAUGAUUGGCUUUCUAAAAACAAAAACAAAAAAAUUAUAAAGCAAAAAAAUCGAAAAUUUUGUCGAUGGAACAAAUAAAUGAAUUUUUGUGGCUUUUGAUGAUUUUUAAUAGUUACGAUAUGAAAUUGAUAAUGGAUUAGUAGGCAUCCUAUUUAAAAAUUUAUUGCACAGGUUACUCUUAUCAUUGGCCGGGCAGGAAAUGUAUGAAAUUAAGAAAGAGUGAAACGAAACUUCGACGUUUUUUCAUACAUUAUGCUAUCAAAAAAUAUACUAGUUUUCAAAAACAACUUUAGUUUCCUUCCUCAAAAAAGUGCUAAAUUUCUAAAUCUUCCGGAAGCGUCAUUAUACACGGGUCACUAUUUCCGACGUACCUGAGCAUUUCUUCUUGUUGAUGCAGGAGCUACUAUAGAUGUUUUAAAACAUCGUGGGGGCUGGAAGUCAAGUAGUGGCCGUAGGAUACGUAGAGAAUUCAGUGAAUAAUAAAAAACAAAUUGCUUAAAACAUUCGCAGUCUUAUGAUGAAAAUGAAGCUAGCAAAUUUGGUAAAAACAACGAAGGGCUCUAUCUUCGGGUUUCAUUUGGAAUGCAGGAUCCUAAAAUUUUGGGCUACUAAAAAAAGAAAAAGUCCAUGAAGCCCUUCUACAAAUCGAUAAAAAUUCCUACGUUAAAUUAAUGACAGCGGGUGGUAUUUAUAUUUGUCAGCUACGAUUAUUGCAUUGCAUUUGAUGGUUUAGAAGUUAUUCACUGCUUUAAUUGCGACGUUUUGGUUACGCCUCUCGGUUGUGUAAACUGCCUACGGCAAGGUAUUAAAGAUGACCAAAUUGUAGACACGAAUCAUGCUGUUUGGGAUCAUCAUGUCCUGUUCACUGUGCAGCCCUCGAAAGACUUAAAACAGAUAUUUUUUCAGCAUAGCAAACAACUACAAAUUCGUUCGGAAAUGAGGUUGAAGCACAUGGGCCUGACAAGUUUGCACAGUUUUCCAUUACGUAUACAAAUAUUGCCUCUUUAUUUGCUAAGUCGAAUUUUUUCACUUUAUAUGUUCAACAACAGAAUCCUGACUGUAUUACAUUAAGCGAAUCCUGGUUAUCACCUGUUAUUCCAAACUCUCUAAUAGCUCGUAAUGACUACAAUAUCUAUCGCACUGAUCGCACUUUACGAGGAGGAAGAGUUUGCAUAUUUAAAAAAAAAAUGUUUUUAAAUAGUUCGCCGUAAAAAGUUAUGGCAAAAAUUUUGGCAAAAUUGACCUGGUUGGUGUUGAGGUCAGGUAUUGUUCUUACAGCUUUUUUAUGUUCUGCGUUUAUCGACCACCUGCUAGUUCCAUUGUAGACGAUCAGUCUUCAUUUGAUGAAAUCAAGUCCCUCAGUAAUAUUCAUCUUAAUUUCUUAAUAUUCGGAGAUUUUAACUUUCCUAAAAUUUCAUAGCCAAACAUGCAGUUAUUAGAUAAUAAUAAUUCUGCCCUCGUAAUUGUGGAUAUGCUUCUGGAAACCAUGUUGUACAAUCGAUUACUUCACCCAGGAUCCAUGGGAGGUUUUUACAAAUGUACUAUCUGAUUUAAUACACAAAAAUUCUAAAACUUACAAGAUCAAAUACAAUAUGAAAAAACCUUGGAUUCAACAAAUUUUCGUAAAACGUGCAAGAACGAAGAAACGAACAUACUAGCUGAUUUAUUUGGUAACGUGUUUACUGCCCAACUUAGCGGUAACCUGCCACCAUGCACAACACCUCGACUAAAACCAUCUCUCCUCCCUUGACGUUUAUCAUGACUAGUGCAUUCCAGACAUCAGUACUUCCACCAAUUUGGCUUUAGGCUCAAGUUAUUCCUUUAUUCAAAGAGGGCGAUAAAAACGAAUUUGCUGUAAAAUCAUGGAAAGAAUCAUAUGCCGUCACCUUCGCCAAUUUUUAAUUGAUAAUAAUGUAAUUUCCUCAAACCAACACGGUUUUGUACCUGGCAGGUCCACCGUUACAUGCCUACUUCGAUACCUAAACGACUGGUCAUUAUCAUUAGAAAUAAACGAGCAAGCGGAUGUCAUUUAUUUAGAUUUCGAAAAGGCGUUUAAUGGCGUUCCGCAUCGUCGCUUACUGUCUAAGUUAGAAAGUUCUGGAGUGCGAGGUCUUUUGCUAGAAUGGAAUGAGGUUUUCCUAAGCGACCGGUACGUUAAUGUAAGAGUAGCUUCAUCGUUUUCUACAAAACGUAAAGUACUGUCUGGUGUUCCAUAGGGAUCAGUUCUAGGUCCAGUAUUAUUUCUCGUUUAUGUAUCAGAUCUGCUAUUUUUAUUAAAGUUCUCUCACGUUUUUUUAUGCCAACGAUGGCAAAUUGUAUGGUACGAGUAACCCAGCAACAAGUUCGCACAUUAUUCAAGAUGACCUUUCAGUGUCUUACAGCUGGACUGGCAUCUGACUAAUGCCUUUAAAUAUUCACAAGUGUGUUGUUUUUCAUUUGGGCAGACUCUUCACCACCUACUUAGGUGAUACCUUCGGCAGCAAACUUUCUUUUUCGCAGCAAGUCACGCAUAUCGUCGAAUAUGUUAGUGUCAUUUGGUUUCCUACACUAAUAAAAUAAGGGACAAACAACUAAUUGAAAAAGUACAGCGUCGCCGUUUGAAAACUGUUGUAAUUUUGACAAAUGCAAGUUAUGAGGAUAGACUAGCCGUAUUAAAACUUCCAACUUCAACAUCACGUCGCAUAUUUAAUGAUCUCGUGUAUACUUUUAAAACCCUCAAUCAUAAGCUUAGUGUAGAUGUUGCCACCAUUGUUGUUCUAGCUGAUGUAUCCCACUUUCGUGGUCACUCUAAAAAACUGUUUCAUGAAAAAUAUAAAACGAAAUAGCGACAGCAAUUUCUAACGAGUACUGUGUUUAAAAUUUGGAACAGUCUGAAUGUAGAAAGUAUAAAUUGGGGUUCCCCCGUUGAGUACAAUAAACCAUUUAUUUAUUUAUUAAAAAUUCCAAUAGUGUGAUAGUUUUUAAAACCAGACUAAAAAAUUAUUUUGAUAUGCCCGUAGCGUAAUAUACAGUAACGAGAACAAUCUUCUCUUGAAGGCAAGCAGUAAUCAUCUAGCUGCUGUAUUUUGUU